AUGCAAGUCGAACGGAAAGGCCCUUCGGGGUACUCGAGUGGCGAACGGGUGAGUAACACGUGGGUGAUCUGCCCUGCACUUUGGGAUAAGCCUGGGAAACUGGGUCUAAUACCGAAUAGGACCACGCGCUUCAUGGUGUGUGGUGGAAAGCUUUUGCGGUGUGGGAUGGGCCCGCGGCCUAUCAGCUUGUUGGUGGGGUAAUGGCCUACCAAGGCGACGACGGGUAGCCGGCCUGAGAGGGUGACCGGCCACACUGGGACUGAGAUACGGCCCAGACUCCUACGGGAGGCAGCAGUGGGGAAUAUUGCACAAUGGGCGCAAGCCUGAUGCAGCGACGCCGCGUGAGGGAUGACGGCCUUCGGGUUGUAAACCUCUUUCAAUAGGGACGAAGCGAGUGACGGUACCUAUAGAAGAAGCACCGGCCAACUACGUGCCAGCAGCCGCGGUAAUACGUAGGGUGCGAGCGUUGUCCGGAAUUACUGGGCGUAAAGAGCUCGUAGGUGGUUUGUCGCGUUGUUCGUGAAAACUCACAGCUUAACUGUGGGCGUGCGGGCGAUACGGGCAGACUAGAGUACUGCAGGGGAGACUGGAAUUCCUGGUGUAGCGGUGGAAUGCGCAGAUAUCAGGAGGAACACCGGUGGCGAAGGCGGGUCUCUGGGCAGUAACUGACGCUGAGGAGCGAAAGCGUGGGAGCGAACAGGAUUAGAUACCCUGGUAGUCCACGCCGUAAACGGUGGGUACUAGUGUGGGUUCCUUCCUCCUGCCGUACUAACGCAUUAAGUACCCCGCCUGGGGAGUACGGCCGCAGGCUAAAACUCAAAGGAAUUGAGGGGCCGAACGGCGGACUGUGAUUAAUUCAUGCACCGAAACCUUAC
rnacentral:rRNA from 1 species